UACGGGGGGGGCAAGCGUUGUUCGGAAUUACUGGGCGUAAAGGGCGCGUAGGCGGGUGGACAAGUCUCUCGUGAAAGCCCACGGCUCAACCGUGGAAUUGAGGGAGAUACUGUCUGUCUUGAGUCCGGGAGAGGAGGGUGGAAUUCCCAGUGUAGCGGUGAAAUGCGUAGAUAUUGGGAGGAACACCGGUGGCGAAGGCGGCUCUCUGGACCGGUACUGACGCUGAGGCGCGAAAGCUAGGGGAGCAAACGGG
rnacentral:rRNA from 1 species